rnacentral:ncRNA from 1 species
CAAAAAGCGAAGACAGGGAAGAGUACAGCGCGAGCGCCUGCAGAGAGGGAAAUCAUUUGCUGCGAGAUUUCCUAGGAUUGUACGCGUUGGAAGGUCGCCCUUGAGCUGCUUCUUUGAACAGAAAGUAGAGGAAGCCGGUCGAAAGCCGUUAUGCGAUGAAGUGCUUAGGUAGGAGUAUGUCCUGCUUAAGAAAAAAGGUGGUACCGCGAGAGAGUCUCCUUUCGUCCUUUUC